rnacentral:misc_RNA from 1 species
AGGUAUGCCAGUCUCUAGAUUGUCCAU